GAUGAACGCUGGCGGCAUGCUUUACACAUGCAAGUCGGACGGGAAGUCCUUUUUCCAGUGGCGUACUCGUGUGUAACGCGUAAGAAUCUGCCCUUGGUAGCGUAACCACAGCUGUAAACGGCUUCUAAUACCCUGUAGGCUGAGCAGCGAAAGGAGUAGUCCUCCCUAGUAGGGGCUCGCGUCUUAUUACCUUUUUGGUGGGGUAGUAGCUUACCAAGGCGGUGAUCAGUAGCAGGUCCGAGCGGAUGAUCAGCAACACUGGGACUGAGACAAGGACCAGAAUACUACGGGAGGAAGCAGUGGUGAAGAAUUCACAACAGGGGGAGGAAGGAUGAAGGAACGACGCGGGGGGGAGGAAGAAGGUCGAGGGGUAAAGAGCUUCUGUUUGUGAAGAAGAAAGAGUGACGGUAACGGGUAAAGAAGCACCGGCUAACUAUGUG
rnacentral:rRNA from 1 species